CAAGAAGGCUAACUAGCCGGGUGAGAAUCUGUGAUUGUGAAUAAAGAUUGCAGAAUCUACAAAACAUUUUAUACAAUAUCAGAUACUUUUCUGAUCCCCUUCCACAGGUAGUAUAAAACAUAUACAACCUCUGGAUCAUUUGAGGCUAAGCUAAAGAGCAAGUUGUGGCUUGACCUUUCAUCUUCCCCACCGUUUCGGCUGUUGCAGUGAUCCAGUUGAACGAGGUGAUGGAUCGGGGCUUUCUGAGACUUCGGGAUGGGUUGGCAAAUGAUUAGGAUAACUUCUUUGAACAGUCUGCUCCGAAGAAUCUGCUGUGGCAAAUAGAGUCGUAACAGAUGGUCUCUUGGUCUUGAUAGGCUUUUUCCUCAUCUCAGUAAUGCCUGACAAGUGGUGUUCGUUGACAAUUUCGAAAUUCUUGUACGUAUAACCAACAAAGUUCACAUCCUUGGGUGAAAGCUUCUUUCUCAAAGGGCCCGACUUUGAUGGAGUUUGACCUGGCACACCCAGCUCUUCAUACUUCUCAAAAUUUCGAGUGUCUAACUCAUCCUGAAUCUCUGGAAUGAUAACAGCUUCCAUUUGAUAUAAUUUAUCCCAUUGUGUACCUUUAAACCAUGGAUGCGCCUUAAUUUCUUUAGCUCCUUUGGUUCCAAUCCUUUGCUCAACAUUGCAUAGAAGUUUG
rnacentral:misc_RNA from 1 species